GAAGCAGAGCCAUUCAUGGGAUCGGGUCGUUUUGCUCGAGCUUAUUUACUGGGAUAUAACUGUGAUGAUGAGAAAGAACUAGAAGAUGCUUUGCGCUUUUGCUGAUCCCCCACUGCUGAUGAGUAUAGUUAAAAAACUUUGGUUUCCAAUAAUGACAUUCGAGCAGUCUUGUUUCAAUCUUGUACUGUAACUUUAGAUCUCUAAA
rnacentral:misc_RNA from 1 species